rnacentral:lncRNA from 1 species
AUCCAUUCAUGUAGGUUGUAAAGGGAAAGAAAGAUAAAGAUGAACAAUUAACAAUGUUGAUAGCAUGAACAUAUGGAAACGGAAGCAAAUGUGUCGCAGAUGUCAGAAAAGUAUUUCAACCAUCAAGAAGGGUACAAAAGCUAAUAUCGCGCUUAUUAUUACAAAGUUGAUUAGGUAUAAAUAAGUGAAGCAUUCAUUCGUGUACAAUAUUAGCAUGUAGGCCUAGGAUAUGGUUCCAUUCUUAGACACCGAUAUUCUUUAAACAUAAGGAAAUACUUCAUAAGAAGCCCUAUAUAUUGCAUUGAUGAUAGAUUCAUAGGUUAAAAGGCAUGAAACCAGUUUAUGGUAAGCAAAACUACAUAGAAGAGAUGCAUCAUGUAGAUUGCUUUGAUUCCCCAACUUCUGGUAAUUAAGAUAUAUAGUCUUUCGCCGUCCUCAUAAUUAACCUUUUGCUUCAUGUCUUCCAUGCGCUUCUGCAGAAUAAAAGUGUACAAUAAAGGAAUAGGAAAACCAGCUGUAGUUGCACACACAAAAACAUUUGGGGAAAGAACAUUUUGAAGAAGUUAAGACCUUACUUAGUGAUUGGCAGUGAAAAUACGACGCGGGGAAAAUAGAUGCACAUAUACCAUUUCUAUUCUACAACAGAGAAAAAUAAAACAACCAACCGAAGGGACAUAUCAGUCUUUAUGUAGUGGUUGGAGGUUAUACUAUUAAAUUUUGACGAGUGAGAACCCAUGAACGCAAAUGAAAUUUAAUAGUAUCAUUGCUAUAAAUGUGAUGCAAUGAAGCUCCACAUUCAGUAUGAUUUUCUUAUUUCUUUUUAGACAUUUAACAAGGAAAGGCGCAGAAAUUGGAAAACACUUCAAACCAUAUUAUUUUUACCUGUGAUCUUGUCAAUUAAGUUCAUUUAUGGCACCACCUCUU